UUGUCCUAUUUUAAGCUUCAUUACUUGGACUACUAUUAUUACCCCUGGUUUUACCCAAGGUACUCAUUUUAUUCAGGCUGAGUCGACCUGGUGCCUACAGACAUUUUAAAAAUGUCUAGCUGUUCUUGUCGGCGCUGGGUCUCGAACCCAGGUCUACCAGCACGCGAGUCAGACAUCCUACCGCUGAGCUACGCAGGCCCGAUCAUUUUCCAAUUUA
rnacentral:lncRNA from 1 species